rnacentral:rRNA from 1 species
CCUACGGGUGGCAGCAGUGGGGAAUAUUGGACAAUGGGCGAAAGCCUGAUCCAGCCAUGCCGCGUGUGUGAAGAAGGCCUUCGGGUUGUAAAGCACUCUCAGUGGGGAAGAAAGCCUUGGGGCUAAUACCCUCGAGGAAGGACAUCACCCACAGAAGAAGCACCGGCUAACUCCGUGCCAGCAGCCGCGGUAAUACGGAGGGUGCGAGCGUUAAUCGGAAUUACUGGGCGUAAAGCGCGCGUAGGCGGUCUGAUAAGCCGGUUGUGAAAGCCCCGGGCUCAACCUGGGAACGGCAUCCGGAACUGUCAGGCUAGAGUGCAGGAGAGGAAGGUAGAAUUCCCGGUGUAGCGGUGAAAUGCGUAGAGAUCGGGAGGAAUACCAGUGGCGAAGGCGGCCUUCUGGACUGACACUGACGCUGAGGUGCGAAAGCGUGGGUAGCAAACAGGAUUAGAUACCCCGGUAGUC